rnacentral:tRNA from 1 species
AAUGAAUUGCCUGAUAAAAGGGUUACUUUGAUAGAGUAAAUAAUGUAAUUUUAUUACAUUCAUUA